rnacentral:rRNA from 1 species
GAUGAACGCUGGCGGCGUGCCUAAUACAUGCAAGUCGAGCGAACAGAUGAGGAGCUUGCUCCUCUGACGUUAGCGGCGGACGGGUGAGUAACACGUGGAUAACCUACCUAUAAGACUGGGAUAACUUCGGGAAACCGGAGCUAAUACCGGAUAAUAUAUUGAACCGCAUGGUUCAAUAGUGAAAGACGGUUUUGCUGUCACUUAUAGAUGGAUCCGCGCCGCAUUAGCUAGUUGGUAAGGUAACGGCUUACCAAGGCAACGAUGCGUAGCCGACCUGAGAGGGUGAUCGGCCACACUGGAACUGAGCCACGGCCCAGACUCCUACGGGAGGAAGCAGUAGGGAAUCUUCCGCAAUGGGCGAAAGCCUGACGGAGCAACGCCGCGUGAGUGAUGAAGGUCUUCGGAUCGUAAAACUCUGUUAUUAGGGAAGAACAAAUGUGUAAGUAACUAUGCACGUCUUGACGGUACCUAAUCAGAAAGCCACGGCUAACUACGUG